AUGUCAGGCCGUUACCCCAGCUGCCGCGUGCCGUGUCCCAACCUCCUGCUCAACAUGCCCCUGUUGCCACCCGUACCUGCCGGCCUUUACAACGACGGCCUCUUUGGACCUUUAAUGUUCCCCCACUUUCACCUGGGUGCGUUGCAUUACCCUCCUCCACCAGAGGCUGCUGCUGAUCGGGGACCGGUCUUCUUCACCCUCCAACCACCCCCGCUCCCAGAGCCCCUGCAGGAGGAGCAGAUGCACCCACAGCCUCCUCUUUUCACUAAAGAUACUUAACUAAUUAUCUCCUUCAUUAAUGAUGCUGUUUGCAAUCUGUUGUUUUGUAUUUAGAUUGAUUUAUUAUUCUUUUUGCGCAAUCAGCUUUCAAUUAGCAAAAUAUUUUUGUUUAGUUCACAUUUUUUAUACCAUUGAUACCAGAAUGUACUGUUUGUUUAUAAAGAAAAAUAAAAGUUUGUUGGGUUUAUCUUUUCAUAUCUUUCCCUUUUUGCUUUUAUUUCAACAUAUUAAUGAUGCUAUUAGGCAUUUAUUCAGUUUUUCACAAUAAAAUUACACUAGCUUGUUCCAAUCUUUAAUGUAAUUUUGUUUUUAUUUUAGUUUCAUAAUUUCUUGGGGGAUUUUUCCAUUGGCAAUUCAAAUAUUUUUGAUUAUUCAACAACUGAACUAAUAUUUCAUAUCUAAUCUUAUUAGUAGUAGCUAAUAACUCUUUUAAGGAGCAUUAUUAGGCAGUCUCAUUGCUCUAGUGAUUGCUAACACUGAAAUGACAUUUAAAAUAUUUCACAUAUUAAACUUAAAACUAUAACAAACCUCUAUAAACUCUUUUAUAGUUGGCGUUGGUGUUUGAUGGUGGUAAACGAACAUCAGUGGAACUCAAAAAGACUCUCACCUCGCAGGUUGAUGGACAACAAAAGUAGUUUUACAGGUGCAGCAGAGGUAAUAACCAACCUGACCCCCCCCUCUGCCAUCCAUACCUGUGGUCUCUACCAACUCUACAGAGUGUAACAGCUUUAAAACACAUAUCUACAAUUAAAUCUUACAACUAUUUACAUUAUACACAAUACACACGUCUAGUGAGUAAUAUAGAUUAAACUAAAUGUAUAAUACACUGAAUAAAUACCAAAACGAAAGUCAAACUCCUCCACCCACUCCCCUCUCUUCACCUCACUACUUGGUUCAGCCCAACCAGGUGACAUCAGCUGAGACCUCAAAGAGACAGAGGUUAGUAGGGAUUUCAAAAUAAAAGCAUAACAAAAAAAUGAACUUCCUGUAUUAGUUUUGUGCAUCUUAACACAGUCAAUGUGCGUGUGUGUGUGUUUCUCUUUCAGCCUUAGUCUCCAUCCCUUUGAGAUACUAUUGAUUAAUUGAUUAUGAUAAGUUUAUCUUGCAAGAGUAAAAUAAGAUGAUUUCAGUUAUAAUAUUUAUAUUUAAUAAACUAACUUCUGAAAGUAAAAACUCACUUCUGGCACUGCCUUUUCAUAAUCUCACUGUUUUUAUAUAUCUCUAUCCCUUUUGGUAUGUACUUAUGUAUUAUAUUACAUUGUUCUUGUAGGACUUGUUACUGCAUUGAUGACAUUAGGCAAUAAUUUGUUAUAACCUGCCCAGGGACUAUGAUUGAUAAUUAGCUUUUUAGCAAACUAACAAAGAAUCCCUUAAAAAUAUGCAUGUAAUCCAUUAAAAUACCUCAAAAUACCACAGUUACAAAAUUAUUAAUGAGCCAGUUAAUGAAAUCAUGAAUAAGGGGAUGGUGUUCAUUGGGUUUGUUCAUUUUAAAGGGGAAUUACAUAUUAAGAAUCCCCUUAACACAUGCCUAUAAUCCCUUAAAAUACUUUAAAACACCCCAUAGUUAAGUGACUUCUCAUCUACAUUAUUUUCUUUAUACAUUUCCCACUUUCCCUCCUGGUCUGCUUCCACUCAUUCUCUUUCACUCAUGUUUUUCUGAGGUCGACGCUAUGAGGUACAUUUUGUAAUAAUGUCCACCAGAGGGAGCAGGCCUCCUGUUACAUCUGAAACAUGAACUUAAAGUAGCUCAGGUUUCUGUUUUUGUUUAUUUUGUUCAGUUCCUGAUUAUCACAUUGCAUAACUACACUGUUUGUGGGAGGGUAAAGGAGCAUUUACUUAAAAUAUUUAGGAUAAGCAUCAAAUCUCCACUGAUAUUAAAACAGGAAGAAACCCAUCAACCCAUUAAACUCCUACUGUUAUAUAAAUAAACUAUAUUUACUCCACUACUUUUAUUUACUGAUGAGCUACUUUACAGAUUAAGAUUUUUACAUUAAGAAAAUAGAUGAUAAACUAAUAUAAAAUACAACACAUUGUUAUAUAUCAACACAGUGGUUCCUGAACUGUUUUUGCUUGUGACCAUGAGUUGUACAUUUCCAGUCUGAACUCCUCAAAUAGUUUAAUUUAAAUAAACGUCUGAGGCUGUAUUAAGUAAAACUCUUAUGUAUUUAACACACACACACACACACACACACACACACACACACACACACACACACACACACACACACACACACACACACACACACACACACACACACACACAACAAAUCACCCCUCAGAUUUAUCUUGAAGGGGACCCCGACCCCGAGGUGGAUGAAACUACGUACUACAGCAGCAGAUGCAUCAAUAUUAACAAUCUAAUCAUAAAUAUAUCUGAUAUAUCUCUCACAGAGGCCAAUUCUCUGCAGAACAAGUACUUUUACUUCUGAUUUUGAAUGCAGGACUUUUACUUAAUACUUCUUCCACAGUUGUUAAUCACAUCACACCUAAAUGUAGAGCAGGUGACACAUCGCUCCACAUAUAUUGAACCGAAGUCCGUUGCUGGUUUCUGAUAUUUGUCACCAGAGUGUUGAAGCUUUAUGAAGAAUUCCAGUAACAGUGCGACACCGCAGCCCCGCUGGCUAUCUCCAUGCUGGGGCGAUUUCCAUCACACUGACUAAUGUUGGCAGCAGCAACUACAAGGAGUUCACUAAGAAGUGUGGAUUAUGUGUGUGUGUGUGUGUGUGUGUGUUGUGUUUGUGUGUUUGUGUGUGUGUUUGUGUGUACCUCCCAAUUCCUGAGAAUACUUAAACCAGAUGAAUCACUUCAGCUUUUUUCCUCUUUCUUUAUUUUGUCUUUCUCGUUCCUUCUUACACGCCUGAUAGUGAAUGUCACCGCUUCCUGGAAUCAUCAUCCGUCUGAAGGAACAAACUAACAAAGGCAACAGUGCAUGUAGAGUACCUAGCAGCUCUGGGCUUUGAGCUACAUGCUAUCAGUGUGCUUACAUGCAAGUGAGCAUUAAACAGACGUAUUAACCUAAUUACAGUUCAUCCUGAGGGGAAACAUGAACGUCUGCAUCAGAUUUAAUGGCAAUCCAACCAAUAGUUGCUGAGAUAUUUCACUCCAGAACCACGAAUGUCGACCUCACACAGGUGCUAAAGUCAGAGUAUUACCAAAGGAUAAUUAGUAUAUGAGUGGCUGGGUGCCGCUCCGCCACAUGUUUAUGAUGCAAUGCAAACAUUUUCCAGUUGCUGCUGUUUGAAAUGUUGCUGACUGAGUUACAGACAGUCAGCUUCUCUAAAUCUGGCUAACUUUAGCUGUGUUUCCUGUGUGUCACCUCUCUCUACACACAGAGAUUUCUGGAGGAUAAAUCACUGGGAUUCACCCACUGGACACCAUCAAUGUUUGUCAGUCCAUCCUGUAGCUUUUGAGUUAUUUUAGUCUGAACCAAAGUGGUCGACAGACGGACAGACGGACUGACACUGACAUUCACAGAGCUGCUAGUGUGCCAAAAAACACAACAACAACAUACCUUGCUAAAACAUAUGAUGGACAAAUCAAUUCUGUUAAACGUUACAGUUACAGAUACAAUGAAGGCCUUUAUAAGUCUAACAAAAUGUUCUUUUUCAGCUAUAAUUACACUCAAGAAUUAUCUGAACUCUGAACUUGCAAAACAGUUUCUGAGCAGCAAGUGAUCACAUGAUUGAUCUAUGUUCAGAGCAGGAGCAGCCAAUCAGAGACAAUUAUUCAUCCUAAAGAAAUCCUUACAUUUUACUCUUAUUCUGUCAUUUUAAUUCAUAAAAAGCUGAUUUUUAAAAUAUCUGCAGUAUCAAUUAACAUAUUUAUAAUUAAUAAAAAUAGUGAUGGCAUAAUAGGAAAUUGAAAAAAGAACUAAACUGAAAAAAAACCCCAUUGUUCUCCCAGUAGACAGACGUACUUCAGUAUACUGUGUUUGCUCACCUCUGGCUCUGAACAGGGGUCUCACACACAGGAGGGCCACUUCAAGGUUCAAGCACUGCAAAGAAAGUAGAAUAUAGUGAAAAUAUUUCCAUUAAUAACAUCAUACUUAACAAAAACAAAAUGCAAACAAAAGUUUCUAUCGAUUUUUAUAUCAUCUUUGUUGUUCGCAGCCAAACAACAAAUAAAGUCCUGAAACCAGCUCUCUUCUUAUUAACUGUUUGCAGACCUGACAUUUGUGUUUUAAUUUGAACUGUAUAUGAAGGGGGAGUUUUAACUAAUAUGAAAUCUUGC
rnacentral:lncRNA from 1 species